rnacentral:piRNA from 1 species
UUGUGUGUGUGUGUCUAGAGAAC